GUGAAUCAUCAAAUCUUUGAACGCAAAUUGCACUCUCCGCUAUUAGUAUACGUGUUUGUGUCUGAGCGUAUGUUAAAUCAAAAUCGGUGUUGUUGCUGCUUUUCGUGGUGACGAGUCGGAAUCGUGUUAACUUACUUUCGGUUAAGUGACUUAAAAUUUUGCAUGAUUUUCGAAUGUAUUUAAAUUUCUUUCAUACGUUUGCGCUAUCGAAUACAUC
rnacentral:misc_RNA from 1 species